ACUAUAUCUAAAUAAUAAAUUUGCCUUAAUUACAACUUUGACUGAUAAAUUUUAUGUGUUUGGGCCGGGGUGGUCUGGGGGCAUGCUUUUCCAGGAACAUUUUGCCUUUCCGAAGCCUCAGGAAGAGCAUUUUCUGUGUUUUGAGAGGAAUUUUUACCAAAGUUGUGAACUUCUUCAAUUUAAUGGCCCCACACGAGGAACACCUCAGUAGGUAUGCGUAGGACUAGGAUACUACCAGAGCCCAUGUCCCACACAAAGACAUAUCAGACAUGGAGCUGGGAAUUAAAGACACUAACAAAUUACUGCUGUAUAUGGCGUAAUUUCUUCAAAUUCUUUCGGUUACAAUUUAUUAGCUUUCAUAAAUAAUAUAUCUGUGUUUAUGUACAGAAGUUUUUACUCCACUGACAAUCACUUCUAAAAAUGAAUUUACUGUAUAUCUGUAAAUGAAAUAAAGAAAGUUGUAUGAUUGUUAUUGUCAGGUGGUGCUAAUCAUGUUUCAUUACAGCUGAGAGCUGUGUUGGAAACGAAGCAACUCAAACCUGAUCGAGUCGAAUUCGAAGGUUCACUGUGACUAUACAGGGUGUAUCAAAAUAAACGCAAUUCAUCUUUUGUGCUUAAUAACUUUCGAAAUACUAUUUCUAGUUAAACGCUUUUAGGCUUACUUCAAAGCCUGUUCUUUUCUCUUUCAAACAAACUAUUAUCCUUGUCUCCAAUGCUAGUAAUAAUUGCACAGGAAAAGAUUUAGUAAAACCUAUCAUUUUUAGUUGCUGUUUAAUUAUGCAAGUUUACUAUGUUAUUGUUUAGUCGAUUUAAAUGUUAGAAUUUUCUUCUUUAAACUUUAAUGUUGUCGUCACUACAUCUGGA